CAUGCGCGCGUGGAAAUUCUUCGGCGGUUAUAAUACGAUACGAAAAUAUUCCCGGUAAUUUACGACACGGGCCGAACGACACCGCGUAUCAUCCGGAUUUAUGAUGCUCGUUAAAAUUGCCCAUAAAAGCCGACGAGCUAGCGCGGAUUGCUUUUUCGGAUUAAACGCUGCACCUCUCCCGUACACAACACCGAACGAUGCACCGUCCGCCUUUCUAUUCUCCCCGGAAUACGUACGUAAUAAUGCGGGCCAAGAGAUGCAUCCCGCGCAACGAGCAACAUUUUCCCUCCCCACCACAAUCUCCAUA